UGCGAGUAGAGAGAAUUCAUCAAGCCCUGCAGUUAAAUUUACCACGUUAAAAUAAAGGAAAACUAAUGACAAAAGAAGCAAAACUAAUAAAGCCAGCAUGCUACAAGCAUUUGGCUGUAUGAAGAACCUACUGAAGGCCCAAUGUUUUUCACGUAUGGAUAUUUUGAGGAUUUUGCCUAUUAUAUCUCUUUUCAAUCAGCAUUAACGGUAUAAGAAAAACCUGGGACUGAAGUGGAUUUGGAUUGGCU
rnacentral:misc_RNA from 1 species